GGCUCCAUAGUGUAGUGGUUAGCACGUCUGCUUUACAUGCAGAAGGUCCUGGGUUCGCGCACCAGGUGGAGCCA
rnacentral:tRNA from 1 species